rnacentral:rRNA from 1 species
AUGAGCCGUCAAUCUUGUCGCGAGGAGAUAAACGAGGGAGGAGCGCCCUGUCCUAGGCUUCACCCUGUGUUGACAGGGGGACUAGCAGGGCCCAGGCUCGGCCAUAGGGGGGGGGCGAACGGGGCGACACCUCGGGCCCCGAGUCGGCGGAGGCCGGGCGGGCUGCCGGAGAUAGCCUCGCCGCUGCAUCCCACGCAACCACACCGACUCGUGGUGAGGCGAGAUCGGACCCUGAAGACGCGAUCACAGUUACAAAGAAGUGAAAAAUGUAGUCCGAUGGUAAGUAUGCGCGUGGAUUUUGCAAAGAAAAGGGCGUUUGAGUCUAGCUUUCGCCCUGGCCUGGCCCCCUUAACAACAAGGAUUUCAUAUACAUUCCAAAGCCACUUGAGCAACUUUCUCUUUGGCUUCAUCUUCUGUGUCAGCUGGUUCUCCCGAAAGUCAUUAAAGAUUCUCUGCGGCUGUCUUUUUCACGUGGAAGUCGACUGUUAUUCAAUUCGUCAACAUUCAAAUCGCUGUCCGUCCGUUGUCGCGUGGAGAUUCGCGCUGGGCUGUCUGGUCUUCGGGCUUGUUUUUUCUGUCGGGUCCGGUUUUUUUGUCCCAGCCCGUUACCGCUCCGCGCCCCUCCUCUCCGCCUCUUUCGGUUGUGGUCCUUUUUUGAAUUUUGGGUGUGGUUUUCCCUUUUCAUUUGAGCGAUGGGUGUUGCCUCCUUUGUCCGUGUUGGUUUCUAGGUUUCCUCUUAUGCCCUCUGUUGCAGGUCCCUUUUGUCAUUUUCUAUGUUUAGUUUAUGAGUGGUUGCAAAUGGGUUUACAUAUCUUCAAGGAUUGUCGCUCUGUUUGCAAGCUUGACCUGUCGCAAUUUGUUUAUCAGUGGUUGUUGUCUAGUAUUAAGAAAUUCAAGGAUUCUACUAAAGUUGCUUCGAAAAGCUCUGUGAUGUUUGGUGGCUGCCAUUACGCCUUUGCUGUUUCUUUCCUUGAUCAUCUCAAUUUCGGUCUCUACUCUGUCCCUGAUGUCAAGCCUCGUGUACUAGCAUGA